rnacentral:lncRNA from 1 species
GAUCAAGUUAGCUUUCUGUUAGUUGUUAGCGGCCACAACUGUAACCGUGGGAUGGCACGAUGUAGCGCAGGGGUGGCCGCGUUGUUGAGGCUAUUACCUCUGCCGGCAGUGUAGCGCAGGGGUGGCCGCGUUGUUGAGGCUAUUACCUCUGCCGGCAGUGUAUGAAUUUAUUUGAUGCAAUCUACAGCCCAACUAAACCUAUAGCCAUGCAAUUCUAUAUAAUCAAAUAUCUCAAACGAAAUUUAUACGCCCACCCAAUAGGUAUAUGUUCAAGAAGCACUGAACCGAAAUAGAACAUCUCUCAUCUUUUGCAUAAGUGUAUUGCAUCUCCAUAACUCUAUUGUAAUUUGUAAAGAUGCCAGUUAUGCUAGUACAAACUGGCCAUUUUUUCAAGUCGAAUGCAACCAGUGUAUGAAUUUAUUUGAUGCAAUCGACAGCACAACUAAACCUAUAACCAUGCAAUUCUAUAAUCAAAUAUCUCAAACGAGCACCAAGAAUUGUCGUAUAAUACUAACUAUGCCAGAUUUGGGUAACUGGUUCUCGUUAAACCAAACAGGUAAGCAAGAGACCGUGUAUUACUUACGACCACGCGAAUCACUUGGUUAAGUGUCAAAAACAGCCAAUUCAGAAGUAAGCCAAUGAUCAAAUACGAUAGUCUGCAGUCGAAUUAGCAGUAGUUUAAACAUCUCAC